GAUGAACGCUGGCGGCGUGCCUAAUACAUGCAAGUCGAGCGAACAGAUGAGAAGCUUGCUUCUCUGAUGUUAGCGGCGGACGGGUGAGUAACACGUGGGUAACCUACCUAUAAGACUGGGAUAACUCCGGGAAACCGGGGCUAAUACCGGAUAAUAUUUUGAACCGCAUGGUUCAAUAGUGAAAGACGGUUUCGGCUUUCACUUAUAAAUGGACCCGCGCCGUAUUAGCUAGUUGGUAAGGUAACGGCUUACCAAGGCGACGAUACGUAGCCGACCUGAGAGGGUGAUCGGCCACACUGGAACUGAGACACGGUCCAGACUCCUACGGGAGGCAGCAGUAGGGAAUCUUCCGCAAUGGGCGAAAGCCUGACGGAGCAACGCCGCGUGAGUGAUGAAGGUCUUCGGAUCGUAAAACUCUGUUGUUAGGGAAGAACAAAUUUGUUAGUAACUGAACAAGUCUUGACGGUACCUACCAGAAAGCCACGGCUAACUACGUGCCAGCCGCCGCAGUAA
rnacentral:rRNA from 1 species